rnacentral:rRNA from 1 species
GACAGAGGGUGCAAACGUUGUUCGGAAUUACUGGGCGUAAAGCGCGUGUAGGCGGUGCGGUAAGUCGGGUGUGAAAGCCCUGGGCUCAACCCAGGAAGUGCAUUCGAUACUACCGUACUAGAGUCCCGGAGAGGUUGGUGGAGCUCUCGGUGUAGAGGUGAAAUUCGUAGAUAUCAAGUGGAACACCAGUGGCGAAGGCGAGUCUCUGGACAUUUCCUGACGCUGAGGCACGAAAGCCAGGGGAGCAAACGGG